CGGAUCAGGUAGGACUACCCGCUGAACUUAAGCAUAUCA
rnacentral:rRNA from 1 species